AUAAGAAGGAGUAGGUGAGAGAUAUCAGAAAGGAAAAGGAAAAGAAAGAGAAGGAAAGAAGGAAGAGAAAGAGGAAAAGAGAAGAAGGGAGAAAGGAAGAAGAAAAGAGAAAGAAGAAGGAAGCCAUGGAAACCUCCACCAUCAUCAUGUCAUCUUCUCCAUCAUCUUCUUCUCACCAUCUUCAUCAAUUAUGAGGUGAGUUCUUAGAUUGUUUUAGCAUUUGGGGGAAAUAACCUAUACUUGUGGGGUUAGGGUUUGUAUGAAAUUGUGAUGAACUUGUUGUGUUCAUACUCCCUAUCCAUGCUAUGUGUUGAUAUCAUGUUGUCGUUGUUGAAAUUGCGAUACUUGGGUGUUUAAUUUUGAUGUGUUUUGUUGUUGAAGUUAUGGAGGUUAAUCACUUGAAUUCAUAACAAUAUAAGUUAAUCAUGAAAUAUUCCAUGAAUCAUGAGUUAACCAUGUUUUCUAUGAUGUUGGUGUUGUUGUAAUUGAACAUGGUUGUUGAGGUUGUUAAGAACAUGUGUUUACGAGGUUGAGGAAUUCUUGAGUGUUGGUUGUUGUUGAAAAAUCAUGUUAUGUGAAAAUGGUAGGUAAAAAUGGUAGAUGGAAAGGAAAAUAAAAGAGGAGUUAUUUAAGGAAAAGAAGUGGAGUUAUUUAAGGAAAGAAGUUACUGAGAAUUAAUGGAAAUUGGAAUUUUUCCUUCCGGUUAACACUUUUGAGGUAACCGGUUAACAUGAAAAUCAAGAAGUUUCAAGAGUUUAUGAAGAAGGAAAUUUGAUAGCAAAUACAAGUUAGAAGAAUGAGUAUGUCAGAGACUUGAAAUCGAAGAGAGGUCAAGUGUUGGUCUAAGACGUUGAUACAAGGAUUGUUUGUUUGUUGAGUGAAGGAAAUUCGGGGGCGAAUUUCAAUUUAAGGGGGGGAGAAUGUAAUAUCCCAUAUUCCCUUAAAUGCUCAAUUAGUUGUCAGUUGAGAUCAAUUGAGUUUCUAUGUAAAUUAUCUAUUAUCAUUUGUAACAAUUGGAGCUCCUAUGUGCUCUAAAUGUUGUCAAUUGGGACCAAUAGAGUAACCAGUGAACUCUGAAGAGAUUAAUUAUUAAUAAAGAGACAGACCAAUAUUAAUAAGUACAAGAGAGGACAUUUUGGUAACAUUAAUAAUUGGUCAAUUGGUGCUGGAAGAUAAAAUAUCAAUUGAGAUAUUUUAUGAUACUACUUAAUAUUAUAUAUUAUAUAUAUUAUAUAGUAUAUGUAUUGUGUGGUGUAGAAAGAAAGAGAAAGGAAAAGAGAUAAGAAGGAGUAGGUGAGAGAUAUCAGAAAGGAAAAGGAAAAGAAAGAGAAGGAAAGAAGGAAGAGAAAGAGGAAAAGAGAAGAAGGGAGAAAGGAAGAAGAAAAGAGAAAGAAGAAGGAAGCCAUGGAAACCUCCACCAUCAUCAUGUCAUCUUCUCCAUCAUCUUCUUCUCACCAUCUUCAUCAAUUAUGAGGUGAGUUCUUAGAUAGUUUUAGCAUUUGGGGGAAAUAACCUAUACUUGUGGGGUUAGGGUUUGUAUGAAAUUGUGAUGAACUUGUUGUGUUCAUACUCCCUAUCCAUGCUAUGUGUUGAUAUCAUGUUGUUGUUGUUGAAAUUGCGAUACUUGGGUG
rnacentral:lncRNA from 1 species